UACGGGGGGGGCACGCGUUGUUCGGAAUUACUGGGCGUAAAGGGCUCGUAGGCGGCCAACUAAGUCAGACGUGAAAUCCCUCGGCUUAACCGGGGAACUGCGUCUGAUACUGGAUGGCUUGAAUCCGGGAGAGGGAUGCGGAAUUCCAGGUGUAGCGGUGAAAUGCGUAGAUAUCUGGAGGAACACCGAUGGCGAAGGCAGCCCCCUGGGCUAACACUGACGCUCAUGCACGAAAGCGUGGGGAGCAAACAGG
rnacentral:rRNA from 1 species